AUGGCCUGGAGUUGCUUUUCCUUGACAUUUCCAUCCCCACAUGACAUCUCUUUUGUUGUUUUUUUUUUUUCCUUUUUUUUUUUUUUUUUUCCUUUCUUGGAGAUGAAUGAACAAGACAUUCGAUACCGAGACAUCCUCGGCCACGGCAACGGCGGCACCGUCUACAACCACGGUGCAUUUAGCUUAGUUUCUAAUUGGCUGCCAGCUCUGCAAAACAAAACAACUCCCCCCAUCAGAAGGUUUGAUGGAAAUGAACUUCCAAAGCUUCCAAGGAGGAAAUGCAGCCUUGGGAUGGACUCUGAAAAAAAAUCAGGUUGGGCUUGGGGAGGGUGGAAGGUGGCUCAGAAACCUCCUGGGUGUUUUCUUGGAGAAGGAUAUUCCUGGAACUUGAGGAAAUGGUGUUGUUUUCUGAUUUUAUUUGUAGGUAUUAUUGUAUUAUUUGAGGUGUGAGGGUGUUGAGCUGUGGAGCCGGGUCAGGGAGGUGUUGGUGUCAGGUGAGGAGGCAGAAUUUGGGGAAUUCUGCAGAGUCAGGGAAUUUGGGUAGAAGCUGGGGGUUCCCUGUGUUUCUGGAGAGGUGGGGCUGUGAUUCCCUGCCUGCAGUGGGGACUUGGGCAUUUCCCUGCACUCUGGGAAAGGGAGAAUCCUCCCUGGAAAGGCAGGAGCCCCCUCCUGUGUCAGGGAAGAGUUUCUGUGCCUCAGUUCCCUUUUUCCUGUUCUAAUUUAAAAUAUCCCUGAGCAGCUGCAGUGGCCUCAGGAGCCACCCCAGCCUUUUCCUGCUUUUAUCUCUGGAUAUUUUACACAUUAUCAUGGAAUCCUCCAGUGGUUUGGGCUGGAAGGGAAUUUGGUUUAUCCCAUCCCACCCCUACCUUUCACUGUCCCAGGCUCCAACCUGGCUUUGGACAUUCCAGGGGUCCAGGGGCAGCCAGAGUUUCUCUGGGAAUUCCAGCCCAGCCAGGAAUUCUUCCCAAGAUCCAUCUAAAUCUCAAUUUUUCCACUCUGAAGCCAUUCCCUGUGUGCUGUCCCCCCAUCCCUUAUCCCAAAUCCCUCUAAAGGGGCUCUGAGGAUUCCCUGGAUCCUGCUGAACAUUCCCAGCCUGGCUCCAGCACAUCCCAUUCCAUCCCAGCCAGGAAUUCCAGCCCAAUAUCCCAUUUAAAUCUCCACUUUUCCACUCUGAAGCCAUUCCCUGCGUGCUGUCCCUCCAUCCCUUAUCCCAAAUCCCUCCCCAGCUCUCCUGGAUCCUUUUUAGGCUCUGAGGAUUCCCUGGAUCCUGCUGAACAUUCCCAACCCCCUUGGAGCAAUCCCCCCUUUCCCAAAAAGUUCCCAACCCUCCCUGUCCAGCAGAGCAUCCCCACCCCAGCAGGAAAUCAGGAAUUCCAGCUGGGGUGCUCCCAGGGAUAUUUGAUAUUUUAUUCCAGUAAAUCAAUGAACAUCUGUCAGGUGAGAUGAAUUGCAGAGGUUGGGGCAGUUUCCAGCUUGGGGAUCGAUCUGCAGCUGAACCACCAGCCUGUUCCAUGCCCUUUUUAUCUUUUUAUUAUCCUUAUUUGUAUUUAUUUUGUUGGUUUUUUUUUUUUUUUUUUUGCUCCCCCCUCUCGCCCAGCUCUUUAUCCUAACUGAUGUCCAUUAUGGCAAUGAAAUAUUCCUGCUCAGGAGCACGAGCACGUCACAGGUCGCUGAGCAAAAAAUUCUCCAGCUCUCUUUAAUUUUAUUUUUAUUUAUUUAUUUUUAUUUUUUUUUUCCAUGGGAAUGAAGCACUAUUGGGAUAUUUUAUUGAGAUUGAAGUAUUGAUCACUUUUCCUGGCUGGAGGUGGGGUUGUUCUCUUUGGAAGACUAUGUUUAGUUAGAAAAUGGAUUUCAUUUAUUUGGGUUCUUUACAGCUGCAAGUGGUUUAUGGCUUGGAGAGAAGAGGUAUCUUAGCUUUGUUUUUAUGACAGUAUAAUUAUACUUUAGAAAUACACUUGAUUACUGUGUGGAGCAAAAUUGUUCCACUAUAUUGGCUUGGCCAAUAUUGCUAUACAAACAACUUUUCAGUCAAUUGAGCCUGGUAAAAAAAAAAAAUCAAUACUUUAUAGCAAUAUUUCUAGGGAGAACUUGCUGAAUCUAAAUGUUUUUUUUUUUUGUUUUGUUUUUUUCCUGUCUAAAAAGAGGAGAUUUUAUAGUUCUUUGACAUCUUAUUCUGCCCCUGCCUUUUGAUCUGCUGUUUGCUUAAUUAAGGAAGGAUAAAAAUUCUCCUGUUAGAUGGGGCUAAAGCAGUUAAUUAGCUUUGCUUUUUUGGUUGCUUGCAUGUUCAAAAAAUAGGUGAGAAAAAUAUAAAACAAGCCCCAAACUGUUUCUUGAACAUUCCAGCAGAAAGCAGGAAUUCUUCCAGCCUUGCUCAGGGGGCAGAAUGUGCCCAGUUUUGGGUAAAAAUUACCAAGAAAAGGGUAAAAUCUGAGCUGAGUGUGCUCAGUGCUGGUUGUGUCACUUACUCUGAUUCCCCCUGCCCCUGCAGUAUUUAAUUUUAUCCAAUUUUAUCCAAUUUUAUGCUUUUUAAAACUCAGCUGCCCAGCUAUUUUAUGGUAGGGUGGAGAAUGCAGGAUUUAAGCUCUUCCCAAAUAUCUGGGUUUUGGGGGUUUUUUUUGGUUUUGUUUUUGGUUUUUUUGUUUGUUUGGUUUGGUUUGGUUUUGGGUUUUUUUGUUUGUUUGUUUGGUUGGUUGGUUUUUUUAUAAAUCAUUCCCUGGUCAGUCCAAAAGCCAUUUAAAGGAUUUGCUCUGUGCUGCAUUUUGGGCUCCAUCAAUGGCUGCAGAGACUUUUCUGAGAUUUUUUUUUAUUUCUGGGUGAAAGAUUUGCUUUGGAAUGUCUGGAUGUGCUUUGCCAGCUAAUAAUUUAAUGAAGUCCCAGGAGCUUCAUUAAAUUAUUUACACCUCAAAUCCUUUGUUUUGUUUGGGAUUUUUUUGGUUUUUAUUGUUUAUUUUGAACCUAAAUACUACAAAGUAGAAGCAUUUAUCUCUGGCAAAUAAUUUCUGUCAGGUCUCCCUCACAUGAUGUGUCUAAAGCAUCACUAUUUCCUAUAUACAGAAGCAAAAUAUUUUAUCCUUAUUUUAUCCUUAUUUUACUCUUUAUUCUUAUUUUAUCCUUAUUUUAUUCUUAUCCUUAUUUUAUUCUUAUUUUAUUCUUAU
rnacentral:lncRNA from 1 species